UGGCGGACGGGUGAGUAAUGUCUGGGAAACUGCCCGAUGGAGGGGGAUAACUACUGGAAACGGUAGCUAAUACCGCAUAACGUCGCAAGACCAAAGAGGGGGACCUUCGGGCCUCUUGCCAUCAGAUGAACCCAUAUGGGAUUAGCUUGUAGGUAAGGUAACGGCUUACCUAGGCGACGAUCCCUAGCUGGUCUGAGAGGAUGAUCAGCCACACUGGGACUGAGACACGGCCCAG
rnacentral:rRNA from 1 species